rnacentral:rRNA from 1 species
AGAGUUUGAUCCUGGCUCAGGACGAACGCUGGCGGCGUGCUUAACACAUGCAAGUCGAGCGGGGAUGAUGAACGGAAAGCUUCGGCCGGAAGGUCAUCAUUCUAGCGGCGGACGGGUGAGUAACGCGUGAACAAUCUGUCCCAGACAGGGGGAUAACACUUGGAAACAGGUGCUAAUACCGCAUAAGACCACGAUGCCACAUGGCGAUGGGGUAAAAGGAGCAAUCCGGUCUGGGGUGAGUUCGCGUCCGAUUAGCUAGUUGGCGGAGUAACGGCCCACCAAGGCGACGAUCGGUAGCCGACCUGAGAGGGUGAUCGGCCACAUUGGAACUGAGACACGGUCCAAACUCCUACGGGAGGCAGCAGUGGGGAAUAUUGGGCAAUUGGCGAAAGCCUGACCCAGCGACGCCGCGUGAGGGAAGAAGAUCUUCGGAUUGUAAACCUUAGUCAACAGGGAAGAAGAAAGUGACGGUACCUGUGGAGGAAGCCACGGCUAACUACGUGCCAGCAGCCGCGGUAAUACGUAGGUGGCGAGCGUUAUCCGGAAUUACUGGGUGUAAAGGGUGUGUAGGCGGGCAUGCAAGUCAGGUGUGAAAACUAUGGGCUCAACCCAUAGCCUGCACUUGAAACUGUGUGUCUUGAGAGUCGGAGAGGUAAACGGAAUUCCGAGUGUAGCGGUGAAAUGCGUAGAUAUUCGGAGGAACACCGGUGGCGAAGGCGGUUUACUGGACGACAACUGACGCUGAGACACGAAAGCGUGGGGAGCAAACAGGAUUAGAUACCCUGGUAGUCCACGCCCUAAACGAUGAACACUAGGGUGUGGGGUGCAAAGCAUUCCGUGCCGCAGCUAACGCAAUAAGUGUUCCACCUGGGGAGUACGGCCGCAAGGUUGAAACUCAAAGGAAUUGACGGGAGCCCGCACAAGCAGUGGAGUAUGUGGUUUAAUUCGACGCAACGCGAAAAACCUUACCAAGGAUUGACAUCCUAAGAAGGCUGGGUAAUGCCGGCUGUGCCCCUUCGGGGGAACUUAGAGACAGGUGGUGCAUGGUUGUCGUCAGCUCGUGUCGUGAGAUGUUGGGUUAAGUCCCGCAACGAGCGCAACCCUUACUGUUAGUUGCUACGCAAGAGCACUCUGGCAGGACUGCCGUUGACAAAACGGAGGAAGGUGGGGACGACGUCAAAUCAUCAUGCCCCUUAUAUCUUGGGCUACACACGUACUACAAUGGCGCAGAACAAAGGGCAGCGACCCCGCGAGGGUAAGCAAAUCCCAUAAAAUGCGUCCCAGUUCGGACUGGAGGCUGCAACUCGCCUCCACGAAGUUGGAAUUGCUAGUAAUCGCGAAUCAGCAUGUCGCGGUGAAUACGUUCCCGGGCUUUGUACACACCGCCCGUCA